AUGGAAAACACAACAAAGCUGCAGAGAUGUUCCCAGUGGCGGCAGUGGGGCCAGCCUAGAGAAGUGGUACUUUCUGAUGCUCCAGCUCCUGCCCCCGGGGCACCUCACCAUCCCCACUUCCUCCAAAUGAUGCCUCCAUCAGAGGCAGAGGCCAAGCGGGCUGCUGGGCUCGCAUACCAGAGAUACCUGAGGUACUGUGAGGCAGCCUCACCGCGUGCUGUCUGGGGGAAGCGCCAGGCACCAUCUGCCAGCGCCAACCCACGCGGCCCCUUCGGCUUCAGGGUCAUCCCCGACCUCUCAAUCAAGUGUCCCGUGAGCCGAGUGCGAAGGAAACGAACCAGCACGGCACAACACCAUCAGCUGGCUGCGCGAGCAGAGCGGGGACGCCCAGCGACCCGCCCCGAGCUCGGCCUCGCCCGACGCCUCCGCCCUCCCUCCGGCCCCACGGCUCCGUCCGCCAGCACGCCCCGGCCCCCUCUGCGCCCUUACACGCGGACCCCGGCUCCCGGGGCACCUCCUUGCGCCCGCACUUCGCCGACAGCCGCCGCCGAAGUUGCCGGUACCGCCCGUCCGACCGCGUCCCGUCCCGCCGCGGGACCCUCGCCCCAGCCCGGAGCAGCCGCCUCGCACCGUCCGUCUGGGCGCCGCUGCCCCCUCAGGCAGCCCGGCUGCGCUCCGCCGCCUCGCGCCGCGCCUCACCUGCCCGCCCGCCGCCCCGCUUUGCCGCCCGCGGCUGGGUGCCCUCUGCCGCCGACCCCUCUGUUCGCUCCCCUGGCUCCAAACUUCUGGGCAGCGCCGGCGCGCCUCCAUAGCGGGUCAUGUGCCGCGGGGGGCAGGCGGGAGCGGCGGGGCUGCGCGGCACGGGGCGGGCCGGGAUGGACUGCCGCCCUCCCCGGCGCGGGGCCGAGCCGUCGCUCUCCUCAACCGUGCGUGAGGCUGGGGCGCGGCUGGGCGGGCCGUGAGGAGCGGGCUGUCUGCUCCGAGAGGUUCUCGGAGCCGCGAAGUUGUCGGAGUGGGCUCGCAGGACGAGUCGAAGACAACUCACUCCCACCUGUCCGCUAA
rnacentral:lncRNA from 1 species